UAGGUCGGAGUGGGAGAUCCCGCUGGAAUGGAUCUUCCCCACUUCCUGACAUCCGGUAUGGGCGGAAUCAGGUCCGCCGGAGACCUCGUCGCAAGGAUG
rnacentral:ncRNA from 1 species